UAGUCCACGCCGUAAACGAUGGUCACUAGCUGUAUGGACUUUAUGUCUGUGUGGCUAAGCGAAAGUGAUAAGUGACCCACCUGGGGAGUACGUUCGCAAGAAUGAAACUCAAAGGAAUUGACGGGGGCCCGCACAAGCGGUGGAGCAUGUGGUUUAAUUCGAUGAUACGCGAGGAACCUUACCAGGGCUUAAAUGUAAGUUGCAUAAGCUAGAGAUAGCUUUUUCUUCGGACCACUUACAAGGUGCUGCAUGGUUGUCGUCAGCUCGUGCCGUGAGGUGUCAGGUUAAGUCCUAUAACGAGCGCAACCCCUGUUGUUAGUUGCCAGCGAGUCAAGUCGGGAACUCUAACAAGACUGCCAGUGCAAACUGUGAGGAAGGUGGGAUGACGUCAAAUCAUCACGGCCCUUACGUCCUGGGCUACACACGUGCUACAAUGGUAAGUACAAUGAGCAGCCACUGCGUGAGCAGGAGCGAAUCUAUAAAACUUAUCACAGUUC
rnacentral:rRNA from 1 species